rnacentral:lncRNA from 1 species
AUUGUUCUACCUCCAUUGUUGACAUUCUUAGAGCUUGCUUACUCUCAAUCCCUCCAAUGAUUCUUGCUUGUUCUUGAGGGAAAAGAGAGAGGAGAUCUAGAUCCACAUCUCCACCAAUCACUUUCCCCUCUAUGUGAGGGGAACCCCUUGGAUCUUGAUCUUGGAGUUCUUUGUGAGCUCCUUGUUCUUCCUCUCAUAUUUCUCCAUAGCUUUCGUUGUUGUGGAGGGAUU